rnacentral:rRNA from 1 species
CCUACGGGAGGCAGCAGUGAGGAAUAUUGGUCAAUGGGCGCGAGCCUGAACCAGCCAAGUCGCGUGAGGGAAGACUGUCCUAUGGAUUGUAAACCUCUUUUGUCGGGGAGCAAAAGACGCCACGCGUGGCGUUCCGAGAGUACCCGAAGAAAAAGCAUCGGCUAACUCCGUGCCAGCAGCCGCGGUAAUACGGAGGAUGCGAGCGUUAUCCGGAUUUAUGGGGUUUAAAGGUUGCGCAGGCGGAAGAUCAAGUCAGCGGUAAAAUUGAGAGGCUCAACCUCUUCGAGCCGUUGAAACUGGUUUUCUUGAGUGAGUGAGAAGUAUGCGGAAUGCGUGGUGUAGCGGUGAAAUGCAUAGAUAUCACGCAGAACUCCGAUUGCGAAGGCAGCAUACCGGCGCUCAACUGACGCUCAUGCACGAAAGUGUGGGUAUCGAACAGGAUUAGAUACCCUAGUAGUC